rnacentral:lncRNA from 1 species
UUUGUUUUUUGUUUUUUUCUGCAUCUAUUUGGUUAAUAGGGCAAGAUCAUGAGUGAAGACUAUCAGGAUCCUUCUAGUCCAUCAUCUAAGCCUGGUAAUUCCUCCUGGUCAGCAUAUCCUGUUAAUAUUAUAUGGCAUUUAGUGUAUGUUUAUAACUUUGAAAUAGACUUUUUUUCUGAAUUUUUAUGUAUUGCUUUAAAAUAUCCAUUUUAUAUUGACAGACAUUAAAAUAAGUCUCUCUUUUAACAAUGCAGUGCUCAAGAUGAGACUUUAUUUCCCCNNNNNNNNNNUUCCCCACAUUAAUGCAAUGGCCUUAUUCUCCAUUCCCACAAUGGACUCAAGCAGUCAAUGAUUGGUUAAAUUGUUCAUUCUGCCUCUUGCCUGGGAGGCUUUUGCUGUGAGCAAGCAUCAAGCACAAAAUCUGACUGCCAUGGAACAUUAAACAGCUGUGAAACCUCAGUUGUAACAUCAAUAAAAUGGGAAGAACAAAAAAGUUGCUGUGAAGAUAAAAUGAGCAGGUCCUGUCAACUGAUUGUGGAAGGAAAAUGAGAAUUUCAGAUGCCUGCUGAGAUCUGUGGACGGAGUACUUUGUCCACAGGGCACUGAGCUCUGGCCAAACCAAAGACUUGUACUGCAUAGAUGUUCUUCAAUCUCUAUAGCUGGGAACUCUCUUCUUUUUGUAGUGCUUGCCCGUUGUAGAUGUUUAAUAAGUUUGCAUUACGUACAGGAGAAACUAUGAAAGUCCCUUAUAAAUAUAACAACCAUAAUGAUAAAAGGAAGUGUGUUUGCUUUUCCACAUACAUUCCAGGCCCUGGGCU